UACGGAGGGUGCAAGCGUUAUCCGGAUUCACUGGGUUUAAAGGGUGCGUAGGCGGGCAGGUAAGUCAGUGGUGAAAUCCCCGAGCUCAACUUGGGAAUUGCCGUUGAUACUAUCUGUCUUGAAUAUCGUGGAGGUGAGCGGAAUAUGUCAUGUAGCGGUGAAAUGCUUAGAUAUGACAUAGAACACCCAUUGCGAAGGCAGCUCACUACACGAUAAUUGACGCUGAGGCACGAAAGCGUGGGGAGCAAACAGG
rnacentral:rRNA from 1 species